rnacentral:ribozyme from 1 species
ACAUUUUGCUUCUUUAGUGUUGCUUGUCCUUUUACUACUACUUUUUUACUUUUUUUUUAUUUCUGCGGCGAAUCCUUUUGUGCAUAGUAAUAGAGUAAUUUAAGAAACACUUCAAUUGAAAAAAGAAAACA